GACGAACGCUGGCGGCGUGCCUAAUACAUGCAAGUCGAACGCAGUGGGGACGGGUGAGUAACACGUGGGUAACCUCCCAUCAGAGGGGAUAACACUUGGAAACAGGUGCUAAACCGCUACUGGUGGAUGGACCCGCGGGGCAUUAGCUAGUUGGUGAGGUAACGGCUAACCAAGGCCACGAUGCAUAGCGGACCGGAUAGGGUGAUCGGCCACACUGGGACUGAGACACGGCCCAGACUCCUACGGGAGGCAGCAGUGGGGAAUCUUGGGCAAUGGACGAAAGUCUGACCGAGCAACGCCGCGUGAGUGAAGAAGGUUUUCGGAUCGUAAAGCACUGUUGUUAGAGAAGCGGUAUCUAACCAGAAAGCCACGGCUAACUACGUGCCAGCAGCCGCGGUAAUAC
rnacentral:rRNA from 1 species